rnacentral:rRNA from 1 species
AGAGUUUGAUCAUGGCUCAGAACGAACGCUGGCGGCGUGCUUAAGACAUGCAAGUCGAACGGUAAGGCCCCCUUCGGGGGGUACACGAGUGGCGCACGGGUGAGUAACACGUGGGUAAUCUACCUUCGGGUCUGGGACAACUCCGGGAAACUGGAGCUAAUACCGGAUGAGACCACGAGGUCCUCGGACUUCGCGGAAAAAGAUGGCCUCUCCUUGGAAGCUAUCGCCUGUAGAUGAGCCCGCGCCCCAUUAGCUAGUUGGUGAGGUAACGGCUCACCAAGGCAACGAUGGGUAGCUGGUCUGAGAGGACGACCAGCCACACUGGAACUGAGACACGGUCCAGACUCCUACGGGAGGCAGCAGUCGGGAAUUUUGGGCAAUGGGCGAAAGCCUGACCCAGCAACGCCGCGUGAGGGAUGAAGGCCCCCGGGUCGUAAACCUCUGUCGGGAGGGAAGAACGAUCGCAAGGUGAAUAAUCUUGGGGUCUGACGGUACCUCCAAAGGAAGCGCCGGCUAACUCCGUGCCAGCCGCCGCGGUAA